rnacentral:rRNA from 1 species
GUCUGCGGCCAUGUCACCCUGAACGUGCCCGAUCCCAUCUGAUCUCAGAAGCUGAGCAGGGUCGGGCCUGGUUAGUACUUGGAUGGGAGACCACCUAGGAAAACCAGGUGCUGUCGGCA